GAUGAACGCUGGCGGCGUGCCUAAUACAUGCAAGUCGAGCGAACGGACGAGAAGCUUGCUUCUCUGAUGUUAGCGGCGGACGGGUGAGUAACACGUGGAUAACCUACCUAUAAGACUGGGAUAACUUCGGGAAACCGGAGCUAAUACCGGAUAAUAUUUUGAACCGCAUGGUUCAAAAGUGAAAGACGGUCUUGCUGUCACUUAUAGAUGGAUCCGCGCUGCAUUAGCUAGUUGGUAAGGUAACGGCUUACCAAGGCAACGAUGCAUAGCCGACCUGAGAGGGUGAUCGGCCACACUGGAACUGAGACACGGUCCAGACUUCUACGGGAGGCAGCAGUAGGGAAUCUUCCGCAAUGGGCGAAAGCCUGACGGAGCAACGCCGCGUGAGUGAUGAAGGUCUUCGGAUCGUAAAACUCUGUUAUUAGGGAAGAGCAUAUGUGUAAGUAACUGUGCACAUCUUGACGGUACCUAAUCAGAAAGCCACGGCUAACUACGUG
rnacentral:rRNA from 1 species